rnacentral:lncRNA from 1 species
GCCCUAUUGAGAGGAAAUAUGAAGAAGAUUCUCAAAAGCCACGGAAACGGAAAGCUAAGGAACCAAGUAUUCCCUAAAUUUUUUUACUUUUUUCUCUCGUACUAAACCUUUCAAUAACUUUGUUGAACUUCAACAACUAUGAUUAGUUAAAGAAAAUUGUUACAUCUCAUCGUACGAGGCAAGUCCCGUGACAACUUUGUUAUUAUUAUUAUUAUUUUAAUACCUACUUUGUAAAUUUUGCAGGGAGCAAAUUUGGAAAGAAAUAUGAAAAGGAUUCUCAAAAGCCAUCGGAACAGAAAGCAAAGAAACAAGGUACUCUCUAAUUUUUACCUUUUUCUUCCACACUAAACCUUUCAAUAACUUUGUUUAGUUUUGUUGGGUAUUUUGACCCAAAACCCACAAACAAUAGUAAAACAAUCAAACACAGUGCAAGAAAAUAAAACGAACAUGGGAGAUUGUUCACCCAUUCAGCCAAAAAAGCCUAAUCUAGGGGGUCAGAGGUAAGCCCAUCAUUAUGCAGAAAACCUUCAAGAGAGAAUAUAUAAUUGAAAUAAAUAAACCAAAUCCGACGCCUAUUUGUUCAUCGAUCCAAAAGGAUCUCGCAAACAACCACCCUAGUCAAAUCUCGACUACAAGAAUCCUUUCUAUCGAUUCAGUACAGAUUUACCAGCCAAUAUUUAGGCCUAAAACACUGCAUCAAGAAUCCUAUCAUCAACAGAUAACCAAAUAUUAUUAUAGACUCAUGAUCAAAAGCAGAUCGAACAAAAAAGACGAACAGAUGCAAUAGAGAGAGAAAACUUAAGAACCAAAACAAUGAUUGAAGACCCUUAGAACAAUUGAACUCGAAAAGGCCCCUAUACACCAUAAUGGUUGAGUGGUUAAAUCUCAACCAUCAGAUCCAAUCAACAUUCUAUAGUGUAUGUAAAGUAGUACAACUCGAGUGGCCAAUAAUUAGCCAAUGGGGAAUGCCAUCUGUCUAAUCUAAGUGAAAGGGAAAUAAAAUGUUUUCCACUUAUAAAGUUGUGGUUUGAGAAACACGACUUCACAAUUCUUCACCUUGUUACUCAAACCGUA